rnacentral:lncRNA from 1 species
GGAAAAGGAACUCACUGGGAAGACCUAGUGUUUCAGUUUUAACUAUUAACCAAUAGUGGAAAAACAAGGAUGCCUAAGUUAUGCCUUCAGAGCCAAUAGGGUGGAUUUGUGUGCCCCACAUGACAGCAUUUCCCUUGUCUUUCACAUGGGCCGUAUUUAGUUCAAUUCAGAACUGCAGAUAGUACAGCUUGCACAGCAGCAAUGGGAUGUCUGAGCACAAGUGGCUGACUUCCAAGUGACUUUAUGAAGCACUUUUGUACUUUCCUUCUGCAUUGAAUUGGGAUCUGCAUCCUUGACAUUCACCCACCACACUCAUCUCUACUGAAGGAAACAGUGACUAGCACAGCUUUGCAGUAUGAAACUAGGAAUUGGAGCAGAAUUGCAGACCAACAAAUGAAGUGAGCUGAAGGCAAUUUGACCAAUGUUUUCUGUGUGAAUUCCACAGAGGCUGAUGAAGCAUGUUAUCAAUUCUCCAAGGUCCAGUGUCAAUACAAUAUGAAGAUGUGGCAUUUGAGAGGGUUUUCUUUUAAAAUGGAGGAACACCAUGAAGAAUGGAACAGAAGAACAGAGAAAGAGAAAAAUGAAGAAUAAGAAGCAAACAUCCUCCAUCUUCUGUGCUAAAAUGAUCAAAGCCUGGAGAGUUGCCAGUUCCUUGCUGUAG